GCCAUAUCACGCUGAAACACCGAUUUUCAUACGAUCACUGAAGUUAAGCAACCUCAAGCCUGGUCAGUAUCUAGAUGGGUGACCGUUUGGGUAUAGAACGUUUUG